UCUAUGAUACGUUUCUAUAGAGUCGGUAUCUGCAGUUGCAAUCAUCUCAAACAUAUUCUAUUUAUCGUCAGCCAUGUGAAGAUGGGUAUGUUUGCAAAGAAGACAAAGCCAAAGUUCCGGUAAAGAGAUGCUAUUAUUCAGAAAAAGAUUACCAAUGUAGCAAUGGCACCCGGGCGAAGGAAUGCGACUGCAAUUAUGAGUGUAGUGACAGUAUGGACGAAGCAUUAUGCUCAUGCACAGAAUAUAGUCAGGAAUUUGUAAGCAUUCCAGGAUAUUACAUCGACGGAGAUUAUGAGGUCGCCAAAGAAGAUGAUCACACAGAGAAAAGCUGCAUAGACUACUGCUUACGAGAACCAGACUGUGUAAGCUGCGAUCUCAAUACAAGUACAGACAGGUGCUAUCUAAGCUCUAUAUCCCCAGCGCAAGUUAAAGACGCAUUAGUUACAUCUCUAGACUCUAUCCUUUUUGUGAAAAAAUGCAAAAACUGUGUAAAAUAGAAUUACUACAGUACUGUAAACAUCUUUGAUUGAAUUUUAGCCAAAUGCUGUCCUUCUGUCCAUCAUUUUAAUAUAUUCGAUUGACUUAUAUUUGUUGGAACAAUCAACGAUUUCAAUCCCAAUCAGAAAAGUUAUAAUAUAUCAUAAGUAAAGAUUUUAUUCAGAAGAAAAUCACUGUUUGAGAUGCAGAUGAAUUACACUUAUAAUAAGUAACGGAAGUGCAAUAUGAGCGCUCUACGGUUGGUAAAAAGCAUGAAAUCAAUAAAUACCGUUUGAAUUUCAUGUUGGUAAAAAAGACAUAACUUCAUAAUGUUAACUAUGUUGUAUUCAAUCGUAUUUCAAUCAGUCUGGUCUAUAUGAGUCAUUAUUGUAAUACAUUGCCCAUGUAGGACAAUGAAAAUAUGUGUAAUCUUUUGCAAUAAGCAAAUAACAAAAUAAGCGACAAUGAAUUAUUGGUCAUUCAUCAGUCACAUUGACUUUCAUCUGGGGAAAAAAAUAUAAAAAAAAUGCCCAAGAAGAUGGUCACACAGAGCAAAGCAAAAAAAAUAUCCAUCAAUUUAAAGCUUACGCUUUUAUGGAUUUUUCAUAAUAUGAACUGACAGAAAUUAUAACGUGCCACUUUUAGCUUCCCGGAAAAUUUUAUUUUAAGGUCGAUUAUAAUGAAAUGUUUAAUGAAGGGCAGUUGAAGUAGCUAUUUCAUUUCCUGACACGGAUGUUAAAAUUUCAGAAAGUAAGGAUUUUCGGCGGGAUUGAAGUUUCAUCCUUUAUGGAGUCAAAAACCUUCCCAAAUUAUAAAGUUUCCAUUCGAAAUAUGACGGAGGCGGAUACAAUCUCCCCUCUGAUUGGGGUCUGGGGAGGAGGGGAAGACUAUGAUCUGCAUUUUUUGGAAUUAUAUUUAUAGCUGUAAUUAUGCUAUUAAUUCACAGUUGUUGCUUUCUGCACACGGUAUAUUUUAUCGAGUUUUACCGGUUAUUUUAAUAAUAUAACUGUAUUUCAGAAUAUAAACAUGAGACUGAAAUACGUUAUGUAUUUAAAUAGAUAAAUAAUAAUAGUAAUAUAUCUGGCUUUGAUGCAGACUU